rnacentral:rRNA from 1 species
AACGAACGCUGGCGGCAGGCUUAACACAUGCAAGUCGAGCGCCCCGCAAGGGGAGCGGCAGACGGGUGAGUAACGCGUGGGAAUCUACCCAUCUCUACGGAAUAACGCAUGGAAACGUGUGCUAAUACCGUAUACGUCCUUCGGGAGAAAGAUUUAUCGGAGAUGGAUGAGCCCGCGUUGGAUUAGCUAGUUGGUGGGGUAAAGGCCUACCAAGGCGACGAUCCAUAGCUGGUCUGAGAGGAUGAUCAGCCACACUGGGACUGAGACACGGCCCAGACUCCUACGGGAGGCAGAAGUGGGGAAUACUGGACAAUGGGCGCAAGCCUGAUCCAGCCAUGCCGCGUGAGUGAUGAAGGCCCUAGGGUUGUAAAGCUCUUUCACCGGUGAAGAUAAUGUCGGUAACCGGAGAAGAAGCCCCGGCUAACUUCGUGCCAGCAGCCGCAGUAAAAC